rnacentral:lncRNA from 1 species
AAAAGAUGUGUGCUGUUUUUCACUAUAUCAAAAUGGCAAUGGACAGAAAAGUUAUACCUUUUUUCCUUAGAUCAAAUCUUUAGAUUUGGGUAUCCUGAAAUCCACCAGCUGGAAUUUCUCUGCACAAGACCCGUUUUUGAUUGUUCUUCAGCAGUAGUAAUGCGUCUUCUCUCCUGUAUUUUAGGGCAGGCUAUCAUGAAAACUUACGAUCUGGGCCAUCGUCUCCCUGCUCUCCUGCUGCUCCAAGUCAGUCACCCAACAGGUCUGUCAGCGGAAAGAAGCUUUGCUCUACCUGUGGGCUUCCUCUUGGAAAAGGAGCUGCCAUGAUUAUUGAAACGCUUGGUCUUUAUUUCCACAUUCAGUGCUUCAGGUGUGGCAUUUGCAAGGGGCAACUGGGAGAUGCAGCAGGUGGGACAGAUGUCAGGAUUAGAAAUGGUCUUCUUAACUGCAACGAUUGUUAUAUCCGAUCCAGAACUGCUGGACAGCCAACUACAUUGUGACAUGAUUUUCAGUCCUAAUAACUUUCAAGAAGGAACUCUCUUCUCAUUUGUAUCGGCUGCCUCCAGACAAUCACUUGUAAGAGCUUGAAUCCAUGGACAUUAUGGCUCUCAUCUCAUUUUGACAAACUCAUAAAAUCACUGCACCUGCUCCUUAAAAAUGUAAUAUGUUGGUUUUUCCCUUUCUUAAGAAAUUUGUGAAAUAUGUAUGACCAUGUUUGGGAAGGCAAAGCCCAAGUACUAUGAAAAAAAAAAAAAAUCCCACCUUUCAGGUAUGCUUAUGAUUUCCAGUCUGUUACCUUGUUCUUUUGAAAGUAAUAAGAAAAUAAACAUGCAAUAAAACUGUUUUGUUUUAAUAUU